CCUACGGGUGGCAGCAGUGAGGAAUAUUGGUCAAUGGGAGAGAUCCUGAACCAGCCAAGCCGCGUGAGGGAAGACGGCCCUAUGGGUUGUAAACCUCUUUUGUCGGAGAACAAAACCCGGGACGAGUCCCGGACUGCGUGUAUCCGAAGAAAAAGCAUCGGCAAACUCCGUGCCAGCAGCCGCGGUAAUACGGAGGAUGCGAGCGUUAUCCGGAUUUAUUGGGGUAAAGGGGUGCGUGGGCGGUGUGUUAAGUCAGCGGGAAAAUUGCGGGGCUCAACCCCGUCGAGCCGUUGAAACUGGCAGACUUGAGUUGGCGAGAAGUACGCGGAAUGCGCGGUGUAGCGGUGAAAUGCAUAGAUAUCGCGCAGAACUCUGAUUGCGAAGGCAGCGUACCGGCGCCAGACUGACGCUGAGGCACGAAAGCGUGGGGAUCGAACAGGAUUAGAUACCCGUGUAGUC
rnacentral:rRNA from 1 species